UGGCAAUCAGUGACUGACUCCUUCAAAAUGGUAGACUCAUUCAAAGUUAUUAUUAACUUGAUAUACAAAUGAUAUAAAACCCAACGUCACUAUCAUCAAUUCACAUUAUAGCUUUGCUUGCAGGGACUGGACUUCGGCGAAGUCUGCACCACCAUUACCGCCAUCAACACCUUUUGUUCCAGUCUCGAAGAUCCAGUUGCGAUUUCACAUAAGCUUUGGACAUCUUCUUUCUUUCUCUUUUCUUCAUCCGUUCCCCUCACCACCUCACACCACCCUGUUCUCCCUUUAAAAAUCCUCGACAUCACCCGAAGCAGUUAAGCUUUUAACCCAGUACGUGAAGUUUUUGUUUGUUGUUGUAGUUAUCAUGUUUUGAAGAACAAGGCAAAGCACUCCAUGUUUUCGAUAGAAUGCCCCAGAUAAGAUGUACCUUCAUUUUUUUUUUUGGUAUUUUUAUGUUUGGAAGAAGGUAGUUACCAGUUAGUCUUUAUCUUGCUGUUCUUUUUGGUUUCUAACAAUUUUUGGUUUACAGAAACUUAUGUUGAGGUCAUGCCCACUGAAAUGACAUCACUAGAAGUUAAACAUAUGAUUACUCUCAUAUUUCGUUUUUUUCAUAGGUUGUUAUUGACCAUUUUUGUUUUUAGAUAGUUUGACAUUUCAAACACUUCUUCUGCAUAGCAAGAUUGGAUUGAACUUCUUUUUUGUGGAAUUUAUUGUAGGACUUUAAAUAUUUGUUUUUUGAUGAUUUUAAUAGGAGAAAAUCAAAUCUUGGGUCUUUUUUUUUGUUAUUCUGGAAUAUACAAGGUAAUUUUGUUUAAUAUUUAAGCAACAUCACAGCAGCCAAGCAAAACUAUAACAACAUAAGAUUUUGCAUCGAUGAGCAACAAAAAAGAGGGACAACUUGGAACACACACAAAAAUCUUGCAAUAGAACCAAAAACACAUCUGAAGAGCAGUAGGGGAAAAAACUCCAAAGGGGCAAAUACUAUGCAACAAGGUGAAGGAUUACCAUCACGCCAAGAGCCCACAAUACUAAACAUCAAACUUCAGAAAGGAACCAUAGGGGCAAAAACGUCCAACUCCCCAAAAAGAGAUACAUACCAUAUAAAAAUAAGCAGCAACAACAUCCACCACAUUGGCAAAAGUGUUCAGCAUACGGUAAACAAAGAAAAGCCGUAAACACAUGAUACAUGGUAUAACAUCCUUAAUCCAAAUCAAAUACAAUACUUACCUCAACUUCUGCAUUAUGUUUUGUAUUUUGUGCAUAUACAUAUAAUCUAUUUGUGAAAUUUCCUUUUGUUCUACAUAGGCAGAAGAAUCUAACAAUAUUUGUGGUAAAGAGUACAGACCCCUUGGUGUCUUCAUAUUAGCUUUGUUUUCACUGAAUUUGACAAUACUCAUCUCUACAUUAGUUGUGUUUAGCUUAGUGAUUAAUUUGAUGUUUGUUCAUGUUA